GAUGAAGAACGUAGCGAAAUGCGAUAAGUAAUGUGAAUUGCAGAAUUCAGAGAAUCAUCGAAUCUUUGAACGCACAUUGCGCCCGUCAGUAUUCUGGCGGGCAUGCCUGUUCGAGCGUCAUUACGCCCCUCAAGUCCCCUGUGGACUUGGUGUUGGGGAUCGGCGAGGCUGGUUUUCCAGCACAGCCGUCCCUUAAAUUAAUUGGCGGUCUCGCCGUGGCCCUCCUCUGCGCAGUAGUAAAACACUCGCAACAGGAGCCCGGCGCGGUCCACUGCCGUAAAACCCCCCAACUUUUUAUAGUUGACCUCGAAUCAGGUAGGACUACCCGCUGAACUUAAGCAUAUCAAUAAGCGGAGGA
rnacentral:misc_RNA from 1 species